AAUCCGUUAUGUGGGCAAAGAUCUUAAAAGAUCUUUAAAUCUCUCCCAUGCAUCGUACAUGCUUUCAUCAUCAAAUUCGCGCAAAAGAAGAUAUGUCAUUUCUAAGUUU